rnacentral:rRNA from 1 species
GACAGAGGCCCCAAGCGUUAGGCGGAAUCACUGGGCUUAAAGCGUGUGUAGGCGGAUCGUUAAGUGUCUUGUGAAAUCCCACGGCUCACCCGUGGAACUGCUGGGCAUACUGGCGAUCUUGGGCCAACUGGGGGCAGCCGGAACAAGCGGUGGAGCGGUGAAAUGCGUAGAUAUCGCUUGGAACGCCGAAGGUGAAAACAGGCUGCUGGGGUUGUGCCGACGCUGAGACACGAAAGCCAGGGGAGCAAACGGG